UACGGAGGAUCCAAGCGUUAUCCGGAUUUAUUGGGUUUAAAGGGUGCGUAGGCGGAACGAUAAGUCAGUGGUGAAAGCCUGCAGCUUAACUGCAGAACUGCCAUUGAUACUGUCGAUCUUGAGUACAUUUGAUGUGGGCGGAAUGUGUCAUGUAGCGGUGAAAUGCUUAGAUAUGACACAGAACACCGAUUGCGAAGGCAGCUCACAAAACUGAACUGAC
rnacentral:rRNA from 1 species